UGAAGUUCAUUAGAGCUGGACUAUUAUUUCCCUGCCAGAAGUGUUUGGAGGGACAUUUUAGUAGGUUGCUUGCAAGUUGUAUAUUAUGUGAACUGUAUUGAGGUGGGGUGUACUAAUGACAUGUGGCCGUGAAGACUGUGGACAUUUUAAGGCCUUUGUUGUGUCGAUGAACACCCCCCACAUUCAUACCCUCUGCACUCAUCCACUAGAAAAUAAUACAGAUUAUUGCAAAUCCUAUGUUGAUGACUGGGUUCGUUCUUGUAUGAAGUUGCUGUUGAAUUGCUCUGCCAUUAUUAGUAUUAGUAUUAUUGUAUGAGGUAUUCUUGUUGGGGUUACCCCUGUGUUGUGAUGUGGGUUUUAUAUGGUGUGUAUUCUCUUUUCUCUCCACUGGCUAUCUGGUAAACAGGCUACACUCUAGGCAGUCUCUUCUGCUGAUGUGUGUGUGUCUGGUAGUGGUACUCUCUCUAUUCUACUGUUUUCCUUUCGGCAUGGUUAAUACCUGCCUGGCGCCCGAACAAAAUCUUUCUUUACCCUCUCUAAUAAAUACCGCUACAAGGUCACCAGUUUCCCCUGACUCAUCUUAGAGAGACUGGCAUCACUUAAAGAUGUGCUACAUGAUUAGGAUUAACCAGUUUCCCCUGACUCAUCUUAGAGAGACUGGCAUCACUUAAAGAUGUGCUACAUGAUUAGGAUUAACCAGUUUCCCCUGACUCAUGUUAGAGAGGCUGGCAUCACUUAAAGAUGUGCUACAUGAUUAGGAUUAACCAGUUUCCCCUGACUCAUCUUAGAGAGACUGGCAUCACUUAAAGAUGUGCUACAUGAUUAGGAUUAACCAGUUUCCCCUGACUCAUCUUAGAGAGGCUGGCAUCACUUAAAGAAAGGAUACAAAAGUACCGGAGAAUCUCUUUAACCAUCUCAUUCACAGCUCCUCCUGUUAAAGUUAGAACAUUAAAGUGAAACUCUUCUCUCACUGUCAGCAGUUUCACUGACUGCCUGAUGGAUGAAUACUCAUAACAAUUAUCCAGUGUACGGCUGAGGGAUGGAAGGAUGGAGGAGUGAGAGUUGGAGAAGUGUAGAAACAGCCGACUAAUCGUCCUCUGACUGUGAAGGGUAUUAUCUAUAGGACACUCCCAGGCUGGCCCUCAAAUCCAAAUGAAUAAAGACAGACCACCGAACCUCUCCUCUCCGCCAUCUCUCCCUCCAUCUAUUCACCUUAAUAGAGGUCAGAGGUCAACAGAACUACAUAACAGCUGCACCUCUCCAGAAACGUUCCCUCUCAGCAUCGUAAACAAACGAAGAAGAACAAGGCAGAAAGAGCUGAAGUGCAGUAGUCCUCCCAUGUAAUGCCUCCUCCCUGUGUUCAUGUGUUCUGCCUUUGAGAGUGGGGACGCCAAAGGAAACAUCCAGGGAGAAGAAAGGGGAGAAAAGGGGAGGAAAGGGGAGAAAAGGGGAGAAAAGGGGAGGAAAGGGGAGGAAAGGGGAGAAAGUCAUUUGAACAUGUCAGUGGGGAGAUUAGAGGGUAAUCACAGAGAGGAAAGAGGAGCACUGACUCAACGAAAAAGAGGAAGUACACUAGAGAGAGAGAGAGAGAGAGAAAGAGAGCUGCCAGGGUUUUGUUCGGAUUGAGUAGGAGUGGUCUGGGUGUUUCUAGGUAAGUUAGCCCCAGAAUAAACAGCAGUGCUGGUCCCUGUGCCAGGCUUGGCUAAUGUCUUCUUAUUUUCAUACUGUUAUUUAGUGUCAUUGGGACAGCAGCAGGCCUCUAGAGAGGUGGGAUAUGGUAAUGGAGAAGGGUCUGGUUCAGUCCACGAAGUGUGUGUAUGUCUGUUAGCGAUGCGCGGGUUGACUCAUAACCUACAGUCCUCUCAGUUGUAUCCGUAGGGCGGGCGGGUUUAGGGUGAUGAAAUAUUUGUGUGGCUGAAGGGCGGGUUGAACAAGGAGAAAACAGUACCUUCAAAGUCCAUAAAUGUGUCAUUCUUGUGCAAUUUAUAUCUAUAGGGAACAUUGAUGUUUUUCUGUCAUUGUUUUAGGCUAUCUGGCAUUAGUGCAUAAGACUAGGUUUUAAGGCCUAGUAUACACGCCAAUAGGGAAUGUGCAGCAAAAGGUCAUGUCAAUCCACAGAGGCAAAAAGGAAAAUGUCAGAGUUUAAUUCAAUAACAGAAAAGCUGCGAAAUGGAGAGUUGAAAAGAAAGACCGGGGAGGUUCAGAACAGUAAUGUUUGUGAAGUGGUGAAAGGGGAUGAUAGCAGUGUACUGCAUGUUAUGUGUGAUGAUUGUGAGGCGCUAAACAAAUUCUACAGUAACAAGACGGGGAGUUCAAAUAGGCCUUUGGCACGUCAAGGGAACUGUGGCCUACUGUUCAGAAAAUCAGUCAGUCUUUCUUUUAUUAAGGUAUCUGUGACCAACAGAUGCAUAUCUGUAUUCCCAGUCAUGUGAAAUCCAUAGUUUAGGGCCUAAUGAAUUUAUUUCAAUUGACUGAUUUCCUUAUAUGAACUGUAACUCAGUCAAAUCUCUGAACAUGUUUUAUGUGGCAUGUUUUUUGCUCAGUGUAAAUCAGGCCCCCCAAAAUGCUGUGGUCUCUGAUUGUAGUCUACACCUCAUUUUCUAUAUUAGGAUUCUCAGGGCCUCAGAUCACUUUAUCACAUAGUCAGGCAGUUGCAGAUGGGUUAUUAGCAAUUGCGGGCGGGUGACGAAAACAGCUGACUAACAGUUCUUUGGUACAGCAAAUCCUUAUUUUCCUCUCUCUCUCCCUCUCCCUCUCCCUCUCCCUCUCUCUCUCUCUCUCUCUCUGUCUCUCUGUCUCUCUGUCUCUCUGUCUCUCUGUCUCUCUCUCUGUCUCUCUCUCUCUCCCUCUCUGUCUCUGUCUCUCUCUCUCUCCCUCUCUCUCUGUCUCUGUCUCUCUCU
ensembl:lncRNA